GGCAUACAUCACAAGCAAAAUAAACGGUUCCUUGGCUUCUCUGCUUACCUAGCUGAAGGUCAAAUGGAUCUCUAGAAUCAAGGCCAGUUGGAGUACCACAAGGGGAGAACUCUCCUCUUUCCACUUGCUGUUGCUGCUAAUGCCUGUACUUGUCCGGAACUUUGCCUUUCUCUUUGUAAGGCUUCACCAGAACCCGCGCAUCGCAAACAAAAUGAGGAUUCCCUUUAGCCAGGAUGAUCUUCACGGUCUCAGGAUAAACAAAAGUGACAAAUCCAAACAUUCUCUUCUGUUGGUAUGGUAUCCUCACAUCUUGAACCGGACCAUAUGUACUUCAAAGGUGAAACAUAAUAGUUUUUAGCAUCAAAAGGUGAAUUUAAAAAAACUGCAACAACAUAGAAGUAGAGUGUUAAAACAAAAAACCUGAAGUAAUUUGACACAUCCUCCUCUCUGAAAGUGCUAUCAGCUGGGAAAGUCAAGUAGAUCUGUCUUGAAGCUGGGUUAACCAUGCCUGCUUCACCGUUCAUUGAAAACCCGUUUCUUUCAAGCCUGGAACGGUUAAACUUGUUCAUAUCGUCACCCAUCAUUAAAGCAGCAGCGGCUGCAGCCCUACAGUGUCAAACCAAAAUGAAAUCUUUCAUCAUUUCUACACACCAAAUAUCCAAGUGAAAACUAAAUCUUUAACCACAUAAUAGAUUGCACAAAGAGAAAGGACCAUGUACCUCUGAGUAUCAUUUUGUUGCUGUUGAAGGAACGAAUUCAUGCCCUUUGGGGAGUAAGGAAAAGAAGCAGAACCCAUGAGCUGUGAAGCAGCAGCCAACCUUUGUUGCUGAGCGGAUUUAGAUCUAAGUAACUCAUGGCACUGGUCCAGCUCGAUCUUGUUAGGUGAACCCACCAUGGUGGCACCAUCUGCUCCUCCAAUUACUGAACCAGACUCCCCAAGCCCACAAUGGAUAAAUCUACAAUUAUUCCCAUUUUUACAGUACCCCCUAGCAAAAUACAAGCAGGGUCUCCACCCAAACCCUGAAGCCGGGUCCUCAGCUCCCACAAUAUCGCUCACAGAGCUGCUCCUCCUGUGAAAGGAGGUCCCCCAAUAAGAGGGGAACCCCAUGGCGUCAGUGCUGCCACAAGCAGCAGCAGUAGCUGAACUCGAGGACAAGUCAGCGGGUUGGGGGUAAAAGAAAUCAUGGUUCUUGGGGUUAAGCUGUGGUGAGCUUUCGUUGAGGAAAGCUAGUUGAUCUUGAAGUUGAAACUCAUCAACCAUAUCAGUAGCUCCUCCGUUUCCAUAGAAGGGCAAAGAAGAAGGAUUUAAAGACCCACUGCUUGGACUAAUCAACUCAUCAGGGUUUGGAAGUUCGGACAAAGGACUCCAAGAAGAAGUACCAGAAGAAGUAGAGAGGUUAGUAGGGAUGGUGAGAGAAGAUGGCAGAUUGAUUCCACCGUUGGGUAGGAGCCUGGAAGCAGCAGAGCUUUGCCUUGGAAUAUUAACAGGAUUCGGGUUGUUGGCAAGGAAAGGAGAAGGAGAUGAUGGGGUUGAAGGUGUAGAAGGAGAGUUAGAAGGAAGACCAAGCUCUUUUUUGGCCUUGAGGAUGACAGACUGAAGUGAAGCUUCAGGACCAAAGGCUAAACGAAUCAUCUCCUUCUCCCCAUGGUCCUGAAUCAGCAGUAGACCCAUGAUUUUGGAAGCGUUUUCUGGUUCAAGGUUUUGGAUUCUUGAGAACACAAUUCUGGUUGCUUCAUAGCUAUCCAUAAUAGAAAGCGCACACACCAACCCCCCAGCACUGUCCAAACAACGUUCACUUGCUCUAUACCUUUUUUGCUCUUUUCUAGUAUGAUUUUGAGAGAGAGAGAGAGAGAGAUAAGUGUUUAGAGAGUAAGGUCUCUUACAAGUAAAACAUCUUUUCUCUCUAUCAA